rnacentral:rRNA from 1 species
CGGCGGACGGGUGAGUAACGCGUGAGGAACCUGCCUUCCACAAGGGGAUAGCCUCGGGAAACCGGGAUUAAUACCCUAUGACACCUUAAAGCCGCAUGGCUUUUAGGUUAAAGCGUAUUAGCGGUGGAAGAUGGCCUCGCGUCCCAUUAGCUAGUUGGUGAGGUAACGGCUCACCAAGGCGACGAUGGGUAGCCGGCCUGAGAGGGUGACCGGCCACACUGGGACUGAGACACGGCCCAGACUCCUACGGGAGGCAGCAGUGGGGAAUAUUGCACAAUGGGCGAAAGCCUGAUGCAGCGACGCCGCGUGAGCGAAGAAGGCCUUCGGGUCGUAAAGCUCUGUCCUAUGGGGCGAUAAUGACGGUACCAUAGGAGGAAGCCCCGGCUAACUACGUGCCAGCAGCCGCGGUAAUACGUAGGGGGCGAGCGUUGUCCGGAAUCACUGGGCGUA